rnacentral:rRNA from 1 species
AAUGCCUGGGAAUAUGCCUUGAUGUGGGGGAUAACCAUUGGAAACGAUGGCUAAUACCGCAUAAUCUCUUUAUUUUCGAAUAGGGAGCAAAGAGGGGGACCUUCGGGCCUCUCGCAUCNAGAUUAGCCCAGGUGGGAUUAGCUAGUUGGUGAGGUAAUGGCUCACCAAGGCGACGAUCCCUAGCUGGUCUGAGAGGAUGAUCAGCCACACUGGAACUGAGACACGGUCCAGACUCCUACGGGAGGCAGCAGUGGGGAAUAUUGCACAAUGGGCGCAAGCCUGAUGCAGCCAUGCCGCGUGUGUGAAGAAGGCCUUCGGGUUGUANNGCACUUUCAGUAGGGAGGAAGGUGAUGUCGUUAAUAGCGGCAUGAUUUGACGUUACCUACAGAAGAAGCACCGGCUAACUCCGUGCCAGCAGCCGCGGUAAUACGGAGGGUGCGAGCGUUAAUCGGAAUUACUGGGCGUAAAGCGCAUGCAGGUGG